rnacentral:rRNA from 1 species
AGAGUUUGAUCAUGGCUCAGGACGAACGCUGGCGGCGUGCCUAAUACAUGCAAGUCGAACGAACCGCGACUGAGUGCUUGCACUUGGUCAAGGUGAGUGGCGAACGGGUGAGUAACACGUGGGUAACCUACCUCAUAGUGGGGGAUAACAGUCGGAAACGACUGCUAAUACCGCAUAGGACAUGGAAUCACAUGAUUCUGUGAGGAAAGGUGGCGCAAGCUAUCGCUAAGAGAUGGACCCGCGGUGCAUUAGCUAGUUGGUAGGGUAAAGGCCUACCAAGGCGAUGAUGCAUAGCCGACCUGAGAGGGUGAUCGGCCACAUUGGGACUGAGACACGGCCCAAACUCCUACGGGAGGCAGCAGUAGGGAAUCUUCCGCAAUGGACGCAAGUCUGACGGAGCAACGCCGCGUGAGUGAAGAAGGUCUUCGGAUCGUAAAGCUCUGUUGUUAGAGAAGAACAGCGCAUAGAGUAACUGUUAUGCGUGUGACGGUAUCUAACCAGAAAGCCACGGCUAACUACGUGCCAGCAGCCGCGGUAAUACGUAGGUGGUGAGCGUUGUCCGGAUUUAUUGGGCGUAAAGGGAGUGUAGGCGGUCUUUUAAGUCUGAUGUGAAAGCCCACGGCUCAACCGUGGAGGGUCAUUGGAAACUGGGAGACUUGAGUGCAGAAGAGGAGAGCGGAAUUCCAUGUGUAGCGGUGAAAUGCGUAGAUAUAUGGAGGAACACCAGUGGCGAAGGCGGCUCUCUGGUCUGUAACUGACGCUGAGGCUCGAAAGCGUGGGGAGCAAACAGGAUUAGAUACCCCGGUAGUCCAA